GAUAGCUGUGAUCUUGCCUGUGAUAGAAGAAGGAUUCCAGGGACAGCAUGACCAAAAGAGGACGACAGGAUGAAGAUGGUUGAAAGGAGUGAGAGUAUUCAGAGUUUCCAAGAGCCUGGGCCCAUCUCAAAAGAAGUUGGUCUCAACUUAGUGGAGAGGAUUGGACACUGUGAAACCCUAAUGAAUGGGCAGCAGAAACAGGUUUCUACUCCCCCAUGAAGAUCCUGUUUGGACCGUUCUAGUGGCUGAUGGCUUCAUGCUCCUAGGGAGGUGACACCCU